rnacentral:rRNA from 1 species
UACGUAGGGGGCUAGCGUUGUCCGGAAUCAUUGGGCGUAAAGCGCGUGUAGGCGGUUCGGUAAGUCCGCUGUGAAAGUCGGGGGGCUCAACCCUCGAAUGCCGGUGGAUACUGUCGGACUAGAGUACGGAAGAGGCGAGUGGAAUUCCUGGUGUAGCGGUGAAAUGCGCAGAUAUCAGGAGGAACACCAAUUGCGAAGGCAGCUCGCUGGGACGUUACUGACGCUGAGACGCGAAAGCGUGGGGAGCAAACAGG